CCCCCCCCCCCCCNUCGUGCACAUGUCAAACUUGAGCUCAAUGGAAUGAAAAUAAAAACCCAGUAUAAACACAGAGAUAAACUAAUCACAAAUGUUGAUCUUCAACACAGUCCACGGCUCAGCUGUGACAUCCGACUGUUAGUUAGAUCAUUAACUUAACUUUGUAACAAAGUUGUUUGACAGGUCAGAGGAAACCAAGCAGUAGAUGAACUUUGACAAUUUAACAAAUGUUACGAAAAAAUGUAAAAAAUUAGACAAAUAUUAUCAAAAAAUAAAAAGUGAAAAGUUGCUAAAGAAAAGCUAAAUGUUAGCCAAAAAUAGCUUCCCUGCAGCUGCUGCCUCGGUCCGUCAAUUCAAACAUGUCAUUUUGUCAGACUUUUUCUCACGGUUUCUGACCUUCUCCGCCGCAGCAGUGGAGGUUUCUCACCUAAACCAAAGUCCAUCAAGAAAAUAUGCAUUUGUGGUCGUUGGGAACAAAGCUUUGUCUCACAGCAGUGGAGUGUGUUCUUCUUCUUCUACUGUCUCUGACGCCCAGCCCGUCGGUGGUCAGCGUAUCUGCUGCCUGUCCCUGAGUGUUCCACGCUCCUGUCAGCAGCUUUGGUGUCAGCAGAGGAUCAGUAGCUGCUGUGUGUUUUGAUUUAAAAAUCACUGCGUUCCUGUGUGGAGUCUGGUGACGGUGAUGAGUGGACAGAUGUCAGAUAGACAACUGAACACAUUCCAAACAUAUCUCACCUGAACGGUUACGAUCGCAGCGUGACUUUGUCAACCGUUCCUGCUGUUCAACAAACGCCAACAAACAUUUGUCAUUGUAUGUUAAAGGGGACACAGGUGCUGGUGGCUCACUGCUGCCCCGUGUGUUCAGAGAUUGUUUUUGUGUCACUACGUUAAAUCUGACCAGAGUAUUUGUCGUCGUAGUAUUACUUUGCCACAGUACAAGGACACUUGUAUGUUAAUGUUAAAAGUUUUUCAUCAAGUGUAAUAACAGCAGCUACGACAUCUUUACCCCCUCCCUCCCCUCCCCACGCUGCCACCUGCAGGCUGUUGUGUAGAGCACAACAAUCAGAUUAAAGAUCAGUAUUUCAUGAAUAAAAAAAAAAUGACAGUUUAAUUUCCUAAUCUGAAACACAAACAAACUUAAGUCUGUUUGAAGUUAAACAAACCAAUUCACACUGAUUCACACCUUUAUCUUUAAUGUUGACACAAAGUGUGUCAACAUUAAAGAUAAGAGAAACACAAAGAGCUGUGGAACAUUUAGAAAUGAGAUGAAAAUGAGCAAAAGUCAAGAAGUCAGACCAGAGGGAAAAUGAU